UACGAAGGGGGCUAGCGUUGUUCGGAAUUACUGGGCGUAAAGCGUAUGCAGGCGGAUCGUUAAGUCGGGGGUGAAAUCCCGAGGCUCAACCUCGGAACUGCCUUCGAUACUGGCGACCUUCGAGUCCGGGAGAGGUGAGUGGAACUCCGAGUGUAGAGGUGAAAUGCGUAGAUAUUGGGAAGAACACCGGUGGCGUAGGCGACUAGCUGGGCUGUAACUGACGCUGAGGAACGAAAGCCAGGGGAGUGAAUGGG
rnacentral:rRNA from 1 species